CCUACGGGAGGCAGCAGUGGGGAAUCUUCCGCAAUGGACGAAAGUCUGACGGAGCAACGCCGCGUGAGUGAAGAAGGUUUUCGGAUCGUAAAGCUCUGUCUUUUGGGACGAAUGUGCUGUAGGUGAAUAAUCUGUAGCAAUGACGGUACUAAAGGAGGAAGCCACGGCUAACUACGUGCCAGCAGCCGCGGUAAU
rnacentral:rRNA from 1 species